rnacentral:misc_RNA from 1 species
UGUUUGGUCAAUACUUCUUGGA